rnacentral:rRNA from 1 species
UACGUAGGGUGCAAGCGUUGUCCGGAAUUAUUGGGCGUAAAGAGCGUGUAGGCGGCCCGAUUAGUCCGCUGUGAAAGUCCAGGGCUCAACCCUGGAAUGCCGGUGGAUACUGUCGGGCUAGAGUCCGGAAGGGGCGAGUGGAAUCCUGGUGUAGCGGUGAAAUGCGCAGAUAUCAGGAGGAACACCGAUGGCGAAGGCAGGUCUCUGGGCAUUAACUGACGCUGAGGAGCGAAAAGCAUGGGGAGCGAACAGG